AGAUUGAACGCUGGCGGCAUGCCUUACACAUGCAAGUCGAACGGCAGCACGGGGGCAACCCUGGUGGCGAGUGGCGAACGGGUGAGUAACAUAUCGGAACGUGCCCUGGAGUGGGGGAUAACUAGUCGAAAGAUUAGCUAAUACCGCAUACGAUCUACGGAUGAAGUGGGGAUCGACAACGACCUCAUGCUCGUGGAGCGGCGAUAUCUAGUAUUAACGUAGGUUGGUAGGGGUAAACGCCUAACCGAAGGCAGUCGAUCAGUACGCGUGGUCUAGGAGGACGGACCGACCACGACCACGACGU
rnacentral:rRNA from 1 species